GAUGAGGAUGGAGGUGUUGAUAAGGUUGGGGGGAUGAUGAAGAUGAUGGGGGGGUGAUGAUGAGGAUGACGAUGAUGAGGAUGGCGAUGUGUGGCUGUGGGGAUGAUGAGGAUGGCGGUGAUGAGGAUGGAUGGUGGUGAUGAGGAUGGCGACGAUGAGGAUGGUGAUGGUGAGGAUGGUGAUGUGCGGCUGUAGGGGUGAUGAUGGUGGUGAUGAGGAUGGCGAUGAUGAAGAUGGUGAUGUGUGGCUGUGGGGGCGAUGAGGAUGGUGAUGAUGAGGAUGGCGGUGAUGAGGAUGACGAUGAUGGGGAUGGUGAUGUGGGCUGUAGGGGCGAUGAUGAAGAUGGCGAUGAUGAGGUUGGAUGGCGGUGGUGAGGAUGGCGACAAUGAGGAUGGUGAUGGUGAGGAUGGUGAUGAUGAGGAUGGUGAUGUGAUGAUGAGGAUGGCGAUGUGAUGAUGAUGAUGAUGAGGAUGGCGAUGUGCGGCUGUGGGGGUGAUGAUGAGGAUGGCGAUGUGAUGAUGGGGAUGGCGAUGUGACGAUGGGGAUGGCGACGCGCGGCCGCGGGGGCCAUGCGGGGGCCAUGCGGGGGCCAUGCGGGUGCCGCG
rnacentral:lncRNA from 12 species